rnacentral:rRNA from 1 species
CACGCCGUAAACUAUGCGCGUUAGGUGUAUCGGUGACCACGAGUUACCGAGGUGCCGAAGGGAAACCGUGAAACGUGCCGCCUGGGAAGUACGGUCGCAAGGCUGAAACUUAAAGGAAUUGGCGGGGGAGGCACCACAACAGGUGGAGCCUGCGGUUUAAUUGGACUCAACGCCGGGAAGCUCACCGGACAGGACAGCAGAAUGAUUGCCGGGCUGAAGACUCUGCAUGACUAGCUGAGAGGAGGUGCAUGGCGUAGACGUCU